rnacentral:lncRNA from 1 species
CACUGUGCUUACAAAUAAUUUAUUCUUAUUUCAUACAUUUGUUUUUCAGCAAAAAUGCAUAGUCAUAUUAUUUACACAGAAUUUCAUAUUCAAGACUGUAGGGAACAAAUGUCUCAGGAAACCAAAAUCAUAGCAAAUCAUACAACAGAAAUGUGUCACAUUUUUUUUUCAGCUACAUGCACAGAACUGGCCAAAGUGAUACCUAUUUCUAUAGAUUAUUUUAUCACAUAAUGGAGAAUUAAGAUUAAGUAACGCUUUUCUGUUAGAAUACACUAUUGAUUUGAAACCACAUGUUAGUCCAUGCCUGGAAGCUCACGUAUCCUGAGAAUGCCUCUCUUGCUAGCUAAAUACAGUUCUUUAGGGUGUAGGUAAGGACUGGAGUAAGGGUAGCCUAAAAAGAAUGAAUCUGGCAAGCAAUGGGAAAAAUUUCUUUGUGCGCGCAUCAUUUUUACUCCCUUCUUUCUCCGUCAUCACCCUUAAAUGAACUUAAAAACAAAAACAAAAAACAGACACAUGAAGGUCUCUAUUUGAUCACUGUUAACUCUUCCCUCUGCCUCUGACCUGAGGAAAAAAUGAGUAUGCCCCUUCAAGUAUAAUGCCCUUUACUGCAAAAGGGGACCUGCUGGUUGUACAUUCUUGCAAAUCCAAGAACAGUCACCGUAUUUAAAACCUUUGUUUGGAAAUGGGUGAACCUCAUAAGGCAGAUGGUUGGAGAAGGCCUAAAUACACAUGGAAUCCUUUUAGAAAUCUUUUCUCUUC